GCAGCUUUUGUUAGGAUCCUCACGUUAGAAAACAGUCCAUUAUAACAACCCAUGCGAUCUCAAUGAAUGGACACUCCUGCAUUUGUAUCUGCAUCAGUACCCCUCGUUGCAUCAAUGUCGAGUAACAUUGCAGAAGAGAGAAUGAGGCCAAUAAAUGUUUCGUGUGUUGUAAUUUAAUGUUGUUGUUUUUUUCCAGAUUGACUGCUAUGCUGUCCAUGGUAUGACAGAUGACCAGCUAAUUAAAUACGUGCCCAAAAUUGGAGAUCGGAUAGCUAUUCGGCAGUACUGCAGAAGAGAAAUGGCUGCACUGGAAGGAACCACCUCAACUAUCUCUAAGGCUACAGAAAGCCUGAUGGCAAAAAUAAACUAAAGACGGGCCUCCAAGAGAAUUCAUGGGGAUGGUCAUUCCGAAAAAUUGUCAGGAGUCGUAAGCGCGGACGAGACCGCCGGAUAGUGAGAGUCGCACACACGGAGGACGCCGGCCCGGGAAAACCCCCGCCCCGCCUCGGGAAUCCCGCCUCCGCCACGAGUCGACUCCGCCGGCCGUCACGCCUUCACAAACCCCCGCACUCUUCCAUUUAUCACACGUUCACCUCACCCUAGCCACAAUAAAGCACCGUCUGCAACCACCCUUUGGUCUCCUGUGGGUCUGUACGCCGCCCUUCCCCGGGCUAAUUCCUCACAACUGGUGGAGGAUGCAGGCAUAGUACAGACCCGCCUACUGCAAAGGAAAAAAAAAAAAAAAAAAAAAAAAAACCCCAUCAAAAGAAAAACACAAAAAAAAAAAAAAAAAAAAAAAAAAAAAAAAAAUGGACCCCACCCUGCAACACUUGCUGGAGACCAGCCUCCAGCAGCACGCCGUGACGCAGCAGCUCGCCGAAAGCCUUCAGGUCGCCACACAGACACUGAUCGCCAUGAGGACUGAGACCCCCGCCGCCUCCACGCCUCUCCCCGACGCAACCAGCGAGAUCCGCCGCCUACUACCCCCCCUUGGCCCCGAAGAGGACCUUGAGGCGUACUUCGAGACCUUCGAGAGUAUCGCCUGCCGGGAGGGGUGGGACCGUGACGACUGGCCCCGUGCCCUUGGUCCCCUGCUCACGGGAGAGGCCCGAACAGCCUACUAUGCCCUC
ensembl:lncRNA